AAAGUCGUAACAAGGUUUCCGUAGGUGAACCUGCGGAAGGAUCAUUCACUAGAGAAAGGUAAGCAUGGAAGCUUACUUGUGUGAUAUUCAACCUAAACUAACUGAGCCGUGUCUACCGACCAAAUCCUGCGAAAACAUACUUGCGCUUUGGCAACGAAGUGUCUCGCUUUCUGGAAUGUAGUGGGUAGGGGUUGUCUAAAACUUGUUUUAGCUGACCUCUGUCUGGGCCCCGUUGUUGACCUGGUAUCAACUCGGCAGGGCACCUUACAUCAUCUGUGUCUACACUUUUAACCUGUUGGCUUGAGAAAUUGAGCUAACUUAUUGAAACAAAUGUUACAACUCUUUGCAAUGGAUAUCUUGGUUCUC
rnacentral:misc_RNA from 1 species